rnacentral:rRNA from 1 species
UACGUAGGGGGCAAGCGUUGUCCGGAUUUAUUGGGCGUAAAGAGCGUGUAGGCGGCCAUACAGGUCCGUUGUGAAAACUGGAGGCUCAACCUCCAGACGUCGACGGAAACCGUAUGGCUAGAGUCCGGAAGAGGAGAGUGGAAUUCCUGGUGUAGCGGUGAAAUGCGCAGAUAUCAGGAAGAACACCCGUGGCGAAGGCGGCUCUCUGGGGACGGUACUGACGCUGAGACGCGAAAGCGUGGGGAGCGAACAGG